UUUUUACUCCCUCCGUCUGAUAAAAGAUGUCUCAAGUUUGUCAAAAUUUGAAUGUAUUUAGACAUGACUUAGCAUAUAGAUGCUUUCAAAUUUAAUCAAAGUUAAGACAUCUUUUGUUGGAGAGAGAGAGCAGAAU
rnacentral:pre_miRNA from 1 species